rnacentral:tRNA from 1 species
CAGAUAGAAACCAAAUGGUUAGGUGCUUCUUUUGGGUAGAAGAUUUAGUUAGUUCAAUUCUAGCCUAUCUGA